rnacentral:rRNA from 1 species
GAAAUGCGAUAAGUAAUGUGAAUUGCAGAAUUCAGUGAAUCAUCGAAUCUUUGAACGCACCUUGCGCUCCUUGGUAUUCCGAGGAGCAUGCCUGUUUGAGUGUCAUGGAAUUCUCAACUCUAUUUGCUUUUGUGAAUAGGGCUUGGACUUGGAGGUUUAUUGCCGGUACUUGUGAUCGGCUCCUCUUGAAUGUAUUAGCUUGAACCCUUGUGGAUCAGCUAUCGGUGUGAUAAUUGUCUACGCCGUUGUUGAGAAGCAAUAUUGUUGGGAUCAGCUUCCAAUCGUCCUUCAUUGGACAAAAUACACUUUGACCUUUGACCUCAAAUCAGGUAGGAUUACCCGCUGAACUUAA